UACGUAGGGCGCGAGCGUUGUCCGGAAUUACUGGGCGUAAAGGGUGCGUAGGCGGUUCGUUAAGUCUGUCGUGAAAUCCCCGGGCUCAACCUGGGAAUGGCGAUGGAUACUGGCGAGCUAGAGUGUGUCAGAGGAUGGUGGAAUUCCCGGUGUAGCGGUGAAAUGCGUAGAGAUCGGGAGGAACAUCAGUGGCGAAGGCGGCCAUCUGGGACAACACUGACGCUGAAGCACGAAAGCGUGGGGAGCAAACAGG
rnacentral:rRNA from 1 species